GUCAAGUCUACCAGCUUGAAUCUCGUGCCGUAUUGUGCAAAUAGACAAGUGUAGACUACAUUUUUUUCAGAAAAAUUCUAACUGCUCAUUUCUAAACUGCAUGAAACAGUGGUUUGCUGUGAAUCUUUACCCUCUAGCACUCUAGCACUGUUUAGAUAUUAACCCAAAGCACAAUUGGAUGUGGCAGUCUCAGACUGUGACUUGAAGCAAGCACUCUUCAUGUUUAUAAGAGGAUGAUCAAGUCACAUGCUAACAAACUGUGGAAGUUACCAAGUUACCAAAAUGGUCACAAUACAUGAGGAUGGAUACAAAACAGUACAAUUUUGCCUUCAUUAUGACCGUUUAUAUUAUUACACCCGCGACAAUCGGUCGAUCCUUGAGGCGGUUUGCGUCUAUGCAGCCAUAUUAGUCAAAGCUCAUUUCCGCCCACCUGUCUGGCGGCCUCUCAGACAAGGGGAAGCAACGCCAGCUCAGACUCAUACCUGCAAGUUUGUAGUGUCUCACCUGUAGAAAGUGAUGAUCAUGUCUUCUAAGAACAUCGCAAACACCGACGGCGUGGCCUAAAUGAUUCUUUGGCUGUCUGUGUGAGGUCAUGAAGGCCCAUUCCUGUCAAGUAGGAAACCUGUUCUUCCUGGUGCAGUUCCCGAACGCCGUCUCACAGCAGGAAAAAAAAGACAUUGACAAUGAGUAGAACUGGAGUAGUAGUCGGUCUGCUUUUGGUGGCACUGCUGCUAACCUCCACAACGUCUAAUCCAGUAAAGAAAGGUGACAAUCUUCUUGAACUAAUCAAAAAGAGAGCUUUUGUCCGGUCAGGUUGCUGCUCUUGUUGUUGUCAUUGUUGCUGUUCUUGCUGCAACGGCAAUGGGACUGUGCUGGCAUGAAAUUAAAGACUCCGGGUCCUGUACCAAGAGUACGCCACACCACGAUCUAGAAUCUAAAAAUUACACCAACCAAAGCAUCGUAGAGACCAAUGGUUUAUUUCGUUGUUGGAGAUAUUAUAGAGACUUAUAGCACAACUAAAAAAAAUUAGUAUCUUGUGGUUAUUCGGUAAAAAUUUGCCACCUAAACCACUAAAUAUAAAGAAAGUGUCAAUAACUUUUAGUGAUCGCCAGUGUAUUUUUAAAACGCUUGCAAAUCAGGUCACAAGAAAUUUGCUUUUAGAAAACUGUUUAGACAACAUAUUCAUGAAGCAAUAAAACGGAUGUAAACAGAA